rnacentral:rRNA from 1 species
AUUGAACGCUGGCGGCAGGCCUAACACAUGCAAGUCGAACGGUAACAGGAAACAGCUUGCUGUUUCGCUGACGAGUGGCGGACGGGUGAGUAAUGUCUGGGAAACUGCCUGAUGGAGGGGGAUAACUACUGGAAACGGUAGCUAAUACCGCAUAACGUCGCAAGACCAAAGAGGGGGACCUUCGGGCCUCUUGCCAUCGGAUGUGCCCAGAUGGGAUUAGCUAGUAGGUGGGGUAACGGCUCACCUAGGCGACGAUCCCUAGCUGGUCUGAGAGGAUGACCAGCCCCCCUGGAACUGAGACCCGGCCCAGCCCCCUGCGGGAGGCAGCAGGGGGGAAUUUUGCACAAUGGGCGCAAGCCUGAUGCAGCCCUGCCGCGUGUAUGAAGAAGGCCUUCGGGUUUUAAAUUACUUUCAGCGGGGAGGAAGGGAGUAAAGUUAAUACCUUUGCUCAUUGCCUUUACCCGCAGAAGAAGCACCGGCUAACUCCGU